rnacentral:tRNA from 1 species
CGGGAUCGAACCGUCGACCUCUUGCAUGCCAUGCAAGCGCUCUCCCAGCUGAGCUAUAGCCCCAAAGUACCGCUGG